rnacentral:rRNA from 1 species
UGGGAACGCGAAGAACCUUACCUAGACUUGACAUCUCCUGAAUUACCCUUAAUCGGGGAAGCCCUUCGGGGCAGGAAGACAGGUGGUGCAUGGUUGUCGUCAGCUCGUGUCGUGAGAUGUUGGGUUAAGUCCCGCAACGAGCGCAACCCUUAUUGUUAGUUGCUACCAUUUAGUUGAGCACUCUAGCGAGACUGCCCGGGUUAACCGGGAGGAAGGCGGGGAUGACGUCAAAUCAUCAUGCCCCUUAUGUCUAGGGCUGCACACGUGCUACAAUGGCUGGUACAGAGAGAUGCUAAACCGCGAGGUGGAGCCAAACUUUAAAACCAGUCUCAGUUCGGAUUGUAGGCUGAAACUCGCCUACAUGAAGCUGGAGUUGCUAGUAAUCGCGAAUCAGAAUGUCGCGGUGAAUACGUUCCCGGGUCUUGUACACACCG